rnacentral:rRNA from 1 species
CACGGAGUUAGCCGGGGCUUCUUCCUCGAGUCCUGUCAUGAUCGCGCACUCGACGAAAGAGCUUUACAACCCGAAGGCCGUCAUCACUCACGCGGCGUUGCUGCAUCAGGGUUUCCCCCAUUGUGCAAUAUUCCCCACUGCUGCCUCCCGUAGGAGUCUGGGCCGUGUCUCAGUCCCAAUGUGGCCGAUCACCCUCUCAGGUCGGCUACGCAUCGUCGCCUUGGUGAGCCGUUACCUCACCAACUAGCUAAUGCGCCGCGGGCCCAUCUCAUAGCGGAUUACUCCUUUAAUUGCUACUUCAUGCGAAGCUACAAUCUUAUGCGGUAUUAAUCUCCCUUUCGGAAGGCUAUUCCCCUCUAUGAGGCAGGUUGCCCACGUGUUACUCACCCGUCCGCCGCUAGCUUUGUUCCGAAAACUCCACUCGCUCGACUUGCAUGUGUUAGCACGCCGCCAGCGUCGUCUGAGCCAGAUCAACUCU